CCAGAUUGAUGUUAAAAGUCAAGCAGCAUCACGCUUGCAUGAUCCUCCUAAAGAAGUCUGAAUUGAAGAUAACACCCCGAUUACAGGCCUGAGUGGCAGUGAUCAAGAAAGCAGGAAUACUCUGCGAAAAUGUGUCCACUUGACUGACUGUGCCCUUCAAGAAACAGCCUGCAGAUCUGGUGAGUCUUGCUUUUCCAUAACAGCUGGGAGCCCAGAACUUUGACUCUUGAGUUAAACUGUUUUCUGGGUGGGAGGAAUUUCUUGCCACUAAAAAGUGGGUGACCAAAAGAGCAUAAUGUUUUCUCAGUUUUUCAUGCAGUGGAUCCUAUCAAGCUCUUGGUGUCUUUCUUCCUUGCUUGUCGCAGCACUGGUAUGCUCAAUCUCCCACACUCCAAGCACUAGGAAUAGGAUCAGCUGCUCCUCAACCAGUUCACUGCAAACUGAAGCACUCAACCCAAUUAAAGGGAGGCUGAGUUUAGUCACUACUAAAGAACCAGGUUGUCCUACAGUACAUGCAGCAGCCCUGGUUAUCUGUCUUUCCCCAAGAGGCAGGAGAAUGGAACUCUUUCCAUUUAAGUGAAGUCCAUCCAUUGGAAGCAGCCAUUCCAAAAGGGGGGAAGAGGACGACUCCUGACUUCCCUGCCCCCAGUAAAGGUCUCCCAGACAUGGAAAGUACCUUGGGGGAAGAAUGGCAAGGGGGCAGCGUGGUACC